rnacentral:pre_miRNA from 1 species
AGGAGGAACAACCCCAGUGGCGGGGCCAGCUCUGGAAACCUGGAUUCAGCUCCGGCAGGAACUUCGGAGCUCUCAGUCUGCAGGGCCUGGAGGCUCCGGGGCGGG